GGGGACGUUUUGGAUUUGACAGGAUGUUUGGUGAAAAUAGGUUGCGUGUCCGAGCGCUGUUCUCGGUUAUCAACGAGCAAAACAAAUUAAAUGCUAAAAAUAAUGUAAUCGAAGCUGAUUUCUCUAGAGCUUACGCUUUAGCUGCUUAAUCGCUCGACGAAUAGCUACUCAUAGAGUCCAGCUUGCCGAUUUUAUGGGUCCAUUAUGCAAGACGCAGUGCAGUGAUUGGCAGUAGCUGCAUCAAGAUAACUGUCAAGGGUUUAGAGUUUCCCUCAAAUAAAACCUAGGCUCAACUUGUCAGGUUCUGAUAUUUUCCUGAGUUGAGCGAGAAAAUUAAUAUCUACACAUGUAGAGGCUUAUUUUUAUCCAUUUUGGACGUGGGUUCGACUCCCACCGUCUCCACCA
rnacentral:tmRNA from 1 species